GCAUGGGCUUGGGUUGAUGGUAGGUCCGUGCUCUGGGACCCUUCAUAGUGCCCAGGUCAGAGCAUCCUGCGCCCGCACCGUU
rnacentral:snoRNA from 1 species